rnacentral:misc_RNA from 1 species
UAUGAAAACCAUACACACGGAUUCAGUUGCGGAAGAUCUGCCUCACGAAAACCAAAAUAAAGAAGAUCCAUGGCUCAAAAUGCAGGAUGAAGCCAGGUUAGAUGCUGAUCAAGAACCAGUUCUAUCCAGCUACUACUAUACCUCCAUUCUGUCUCAGAAGACUCUAGAAAGGGCGUUGGCGAAUCAUCUUGCAAUUAAGUUAAGCAAUUCCAGCCUUCCUAG